rnacentral:tRNA from 1 species
UCCGAUAUGGUCUAAUGGUUUAGGAUACGGGGCUUUCAAUAGGAAGCAAUCCCAUGGUCCGGGUUCAAUUCCCGGUAUCGGAA